rnacentral:rRNA from 1 species
ACUCACUGUUGUCGGAUUGAUACUAAGCUAUGCGAGUCAUUGUAGCAAUACAAAGCAGACGGCUCAGUAACGCGUAGUCAAUCUACCCUAUGGACGGGAAUAACCUCGGGAAACUGAGAAUAAUGCCCGAUAGAACAUUAUGCCUGGAAUGGUCUAUGUUUCAAAUGAUUUAUCGCCAUAGGAUGGGACUGCGGCCUAUCAGUUUGUUGGUGAGGUAAUGGCCCACCAAGACUAUUACAGGUACGGGCUCUGAGAGGAGUGGCCCGGAGAUGGGUACUGAGACACGGACCCAGGCCCUAUGGGGUGCAGCAGGCGAGAAAACUUUGCAAUGUGCGAAAGCACGACAAGGUUAAUCCGAGUGGUUUCUGCUAAAGAAACCUUUUGUCAGUCCUAGAAACACUAACGAAUAAGGGGUGGGCAAGUUCUGGUGUCAGCCGCCGCGGUAAAACCAGCACCUCAAGUGGUCGGGAUGAUUAUUGGGCCUAAAGCAUCCGUAGCUCGUUUUGUAAGUUUUCGGUUAAAUCCAUACGCUUAGCGUAUGGGCUGCCGGGAAUACUGCAUAACUAGGAAGUGGGAGAGGUAGACGGUACUCGGUGGGAAGGGGUAAAAUCCUUUGAUCUAUUGAUGACCACCUGUGGCGAAGGCGGUCUACCA